rnacentral:rRNA from 1 species
CCUACGGGAGGCAGCAGUGGGGAAUAUUGGACAAUGGGGGGAACCCUGAUCCAGCCAUGCCGCGUGUGUGAAGAAGGCCCUCGGGUUGUAAAGCACUUUCAGUGAGGAAGAACGCCUGGUGGUUAAUACCCAUCAGGAAAGACAUCACUCACAGAAGAAGCACCGGCUAACUCCGUGCCAGCAGCCGCGGUAAUACGGAGGGUGCGAGCGUUAAUCGGAAUUACUGGGCGUAAAGCGCGCGUAGGUGGCUUGAUAAGCCGGUUGUGAAAGCCCCGGGCUCAACCUGGGAACGGCAUCCGGAACUGUCAAGCUCGAGUGCAGGAGAGGAAGGUAGAAUUCCCGGUGUAGCGGUGAAAUGCGUAGAGAUCGGGAGGAAUACCAGUGGCGAAGGCGGCCUUCUGGACUGACACUGACACUGAGGUGCGAAAGCGUGGGUAGCAAACAGGAUUAGAUACCCGAGUAGUC